UGGGGAAUAUUGCACAAUGGGCGCAAGCCUGAUGCAGCCAUGCCGCGUGUGUGAAGAAGGCCUUCGGGUUGUAAAGCACUUUCAGCGAGGAGGAAGGUGGUGAGCUUAAUACGCUCAUCAAUUGACGUUACUCGCAGAAGAGGCACCGGCUAACUCCGUGCCAGCAGCCGCGGUAAUACGGAGGGUGCAAGCGUUAAUCGGAAUUACUGGGCGUAAAGCGCACGCAGGCGGUUUGUUAAGUCAGAUGUGAAAUCCCCGGGCUCAACCUGGGAACUGCAUUUGAAACUGGCAAGCUAGAGUCUCGUAGAGGGGGGUAGAAUUCCAGGUGUAGCGGUGAAAUGCGUAGAGAUCUGGAGGAAUACCGGUGGCGAAGGCGGCCCCCCUGGACGAAGACUGACGCUCAGGUGCGAAAGCGUGGGGCAGCAAACAGGAUUAGAUACCCUGGUAGUCCAGCGCUGUAAACGAUGUCGAUUUGGAGGUUGUGCCCUUGAGGCGUGGCUUCCGGAGCUAACGCGUUAAAUCGACCGCCUGGGGGAGUACGGCCGCAAGGUUAAAACUCAAAUGAAUUGAC
rnacentral:rRNA from 1 species